ensembl:snRNA U6 U6 spliceosomal RNA
GUGCUCGCUUUGGCAGCACAUACGCUAAAACUGGAAUGAUACAGAGAAGAUGAACUUGGCCCCUGCACAAGGAUGACAUGCAAAUUCAUGAAGCAUUCCAUAUUUUU